rnacentral:lncRNA from 1 species
CUCUUGUUGAAUGUCAUUUUAACAUAGUGGUUGCCCCUGAGCAAUCAUGGGUCUCAAGGGAACCCAUGCUAUGGAUAUACUAUGGUGUUUUCUACUAUUGAUGGCUGUUAUAGGUCAAGAAGGCUGUCUUGGAGUGACCAUCAUUGGAGAGAUCAUAGUCAAAAAUGCUACGUUUGAUAAAGAAUCGGGAUGCGACCAGGCCGGACUUGACAAGAACUUGAAGGUAUACUACCAUGCAGCUGAAAUAGAUGGGUGACUCGUCUGUGUCUCUCCCUGUGCCUCUGGCCACAACAGGACAAAGCACUGUAACACCAGUACCUGUAGUAUGUCACGGGCCGGACCAGUCUGCGGAUCCACUAUCCACACAGCUGUAACAAGGACUACUGGUACCGAGACUCUGCAUGUUACGGCCCCAUCCUGAAGCGAGACAUCUUUGCUGCGUUACUGACUCUGGCAAGACUGGUGAUAGCAGCCAUGGGGGUCGUGGUGGUCUACAUGCCCUGGCAUAGACGACAAUCCCGCAGAGAAUGACCCUAACCCACAUUAUGGUGGCUGAGUGGGCUUGCAGUACGAGGCAGAGGGAGACUCCUCCAACUUCUCCCUACCAUGGAACACAGGCACAGGUGUCCAGGGAGAGGUUUGAGACCAUCUACCACGACUACAGUUCCUGGGGGCUGAUAGGGACACCAUACAAGACAUAGACACCUGAACCGACCUCCUCUUCAGGGCAACGUUUUGCAUCGAGUGACCCUGGCAGCCAAUCAAAGAAUGUCUAGCUUUCAUUUCAAUGACUGUUAGCAACCUGGACAAAGUGAAGAGACUAUAAAUGUAGGUACAAUAUCAUUUCUACAAACUUUUGAUUUGGUUUUAGUAAUUUCAAUGUCGAUUGACAUCGUUUUUCUGCGACAAAAAAACCCAAACAUUUUCAGAUUGUAUAGGCUCGCGGGCCUUGAGUUUGACAAGUGGUCUACAUUGUCAUUCAACCUGUUAAAAAAAGCUGUAAAAUAUGUAUGUUAUACUGUGGUUGCACUUUAUAAACUGGUGUGUACUUCCAUGGUAAAUUACUACAUAAGGAUAAUAUGGAGGAGCUAAUGUUGACGUUAAAAACCUAUUCCAUACUUAAAUACCUUUUUUUAAUAUUCCCUGACAGUUUAUGAUCAGCAGACCGGAGAUAAAGUCACUUUGAGAUGUAGUGGAUCAUCCUUUAAAUCAGUGUUUCAUCGACCACUGGAAAAAAGACUGAAACAAGAUCAGUAUUGG